rnacentral:rRNA from 1 species
GAUGAACGCUGGCGGCGUGCCUAAUACAUGCAAGUCGAGCGAACAGACGAGGAGCUUGCUCCUCUGACGUUAGCGGCGGACGGGUGAGUAACACGUGGAUAACCUACCUAUAAGACUGGGAUAACUUCGGGAAACCGGAGCUAAUACCGGAUAAUAUAUUGAACCGCAUGGUUCAAUAGUGAAAGACGGUUUUGCUGUCACUUAUAGAUGGAUCCGCGCCGCAUUAGCUAGUUGGUAAGGUAACGGCUUACCAAGGCGACGAUGCGUAGCCGACCUGGGAGGGGGAUGGCCCCCCCAGGGCUUGAGCGGCCACCCCGCCCCCGAGGGAGGGCAGCGGUUGGUACUCUUCCCAAAUGGGCGAAAGCCUGCCGGACGAGCGCCCGCGGGAUGAAGAAGGUCCUCGUGUGGGAAAACCCUUUUAGGGGGGAAAAACAAUUGUGUAAGUAACUAAGCCCGUGUGACGGGAACCAAUAAAGAAGCCCCCGCUAACUACGGG